GGGCGCAGGCGGCCGUUGAGAAGCGCCCUGGCGGGACUCCUGCCAAACUCUGCCCCUAGGUCUUAGCCCACCUUGACGGCGCGGGAUGGGAGACUCGCUCUUGGUUCAGCCCGCGGCCCCCGCUGGCGCUCGGCUCGCCCUUCACCUUCAAGUCCCGGGGGGAGAACCCAGCCGGGUCAUCACCUCUGGGGCUAGCUCCGGUCGUCACUGGAGUAUCCUGCGUCUAGGGCGCUCUGCUCAUGGCUCUCCGGCCCUCCCUGGAGUCCCGCUUCCCUCCGCGGGACACACUUCUCCCCGACCCUGGUGUCUCGGCACAGAAACUGCCUCCCACGUGUCAGUUCAGUCCCGGUGUGGCAGCAAAGCACAGCGGACGCCCCAGGUCCGCCGAGCCUUUUCUGCAACGACGUGGCCCGUGGAGACGCCGCGCUUCACCGCCGCGCUCCACCUGAGCAGCUGAGAACUCGGGCAGGUUGCCUCUCUGCACUGUCUGCUCAAGGGACGGGCGCCGACGAUGAAAGAGUUUGAUUUUCUCCUCUACAGAAAAUAACCCGCCGAGACUCAAAUCCCCUCCCCUUCUCGGAGGAACGCCAUUCCCGGAUGUCACAUCGCGACCUUGUGGAGAGUCGGCGCGGCAGGCCGGCAGGCCGGCAGGCUCCCCGGACGGUUGCUCUGGGGAAACCCUAGUCUAAACUUCCAGGAGCAUUUGUUUUCCGUCAAGUUCGUGUGCGCUUACUCCAGCGCGGGGCAGGCACCGCCGCGCGCCAAACGCCAGGAAGCAGGUGCAAGACAUCGCGAUCUUCUCUUCUUUUCAGGGCUUUGGGGACAGACUACUGAGCUUUCCCAGUGGGGCAUAAGAAACAAGAAAGCAAGGCAAGCCACGGUGGUAUGCAUUCCGGAAUAUCUGGGAUAAUUGAAAUGUAAAAAGAAAAUCAUUUAAUAGGACGCGUGCAUCAAUAUUUCAUCUACUGCUCCUCCUGCCCUCCCCCAAAGUCCUCGAAACUACUCACCUUCUCAGAAAGGAGGGGAGCGCUGCAGGGAAUGUCCUCACCGGAACAAACAGCCCGGUAUAUGGCCCCCGUGCUGUACCAGCCAGCGGUAAUCAAUAGUAGAAAUGGAAAUAAGGAUAGGACCUCUUUCGGAGGAGAGGGAAGGGUAGGAUUCUUAACUGUCAUAUGAGGAAGCAAAGGUGUAGAACUGAUCAACCUAGAAUUAGCCCUGCAGGCAUUUUGAUUAAUUAACUGCCAGAAGAGCAGAAUUAUUAAUGUAGGUCAUGUCUGGUAGAAUAAAAAACAGAGACUUGUAGCACAGGACUGGGGAGGGAUGGAAUCCUUCUGACAACUUGUGGAUGUCGCAAACCCAUCUGUAAUGUUCGAAUUUUUAUAGCAUGUGCAUCAUUUAAGAAAUUGUAAAGCAUUUUAACGAAUACAUAAAAAUACACAUUUUCCCUA